rnacentral:misc_RNA from 1 species
UUAAGUUCAGCGGGUAGUCCUGCCUGAUUUGAGGUCAGAGGUUCAAGUGUUUGCUACAAGAGCAAGACGUGUUUGGAAGCGGUUCAAACACCCUUACUGUGGCCGCCUGCCUAGAAGGCCAGGCGUCCUCGACGAUAAUAACUUAUUACGCCGAGUAGAACCAGGUCAGAAUGGAUCCAGCUAAUGGUUUUAAAGCGAGC